GUCAUAAUUAUUCUUGAGUCUCUUCCAGGAGAGUUUGAACAAUUUAAGGUCAACUAUAACUCUCUAAAGGAAAAAUGGCAACUCUCUGAGAUGACCGCAAGGAUCGUCCGGGAGGAAGAGAGGAUCAUGAGGCAAAAGAAAGACCAUGUUUUUCAUGUUGGCUCUCACAAGAGAAAGCAUGACAGGCAAGGUUUUCCCAAGCCUCGGAAAAAGCAAGUCAAGAAAGAAGGCACUAAGCCAUUCAACCCUAAGGCAUUCAAGGGUAAAGAAGCCGGCAGUUCUUCUUCUGCUCCUAGCAGCUCCACUGUUGGAGAAAAUGCUUGUAACUUCUGCAAAGUGGAGGGACACUAUCAAAGGGACUGCCCAGGCUUUCUAAAAUGGAUGAACAAAAGAGGGAUUCGAUACGAUCCAAACUAUAAG
rnacentral:rRNA from 1 species